UACGUAGGGGGCAAGCGUUGUCCGGAAUUAUUGGGCCUAAAGCAUCCGUAGCCGGUUUUACAAGUCCUCCGUUAAAUCCAACUGCUUAACAGAUGGGCCGCGGAGGAUACUAUAAGACUAGGAGGCAGGAGAGGCAAGCGGUACUCAGUGGGUAGGGGUAAAAUCCGUUGAUCCAUUGAAGACCACCAGUGGCGAAGGCGGCUUGCCAGAAUGCGCUCGACGGUGAGGGAUGAAAGCUGGGGGAGCAAACCGG
rnacentral:rRNA from 1 species